ACAGUGAUUGUAGCAUUCGUUGUUGCCUUUCAUAAUCUCAGUGAUUCUACAAAUCAACAAUCCGUGGGUAAAAUGGAAAAAGGCACAGUUGACCUGAAACCAGAAACUGCCUACAACUUAAUACAUACCAUUCUGUUUGGAUUCUUGGCAUUGAGUACAAUGAGAAUGAAGUACCUCUGGACGUCACACAUGUGUGUGUUCGCAUCAUUCGGCCUAUGUAGCCCUGAAAUAUGGGAGUUACUUCUGAAGUCAGUCCAUCUUUAUAACCCAAAGAGGAUAUGUAUAAUGCGAUAUUCAGUACCGAUAUUAAUACUGCUGUAUCUGUGCUAUAAGUUCUGGCCAGGAAUGAUGGAUGAACUCUCCGAGUUGAGAGAAUUCUAUGAUCCAGAUACAGUGGAGCUGAUGAACUGGAUUAAAAAUAUUCUCUCCAGCUAUAUCUCAUGAAGAAAGGAAAAUACCCAUUUGGAGAGGAAAACCGAUUCAAUAAAUAAAUUUCAAACCACUGACAGAAAUGGCAAUAAAAGUUUAUAAUAUCUGUUGAAACUU
rnacentral:sRNA from 1 species